rnacentral:rRNA from 1 species
UCCUACAGCUACACAGCUCUGGGUACUGCUGUUCUUGGUCAAUACCUGGAUGGGGGACUACCUGGAAACACCAGGUGCUGUAAGCU